rnacentral:rRNA from 1 species
AGCUAAAAUAUUAAAUAUUUACCCUAAAAAUAAAGAAAACCUUCACUACUCAUAGUACUCCUUAAAAAUGAUUUAACCUACAAAACCGCAAGGGCCCAAUUUCAGCUUUUCUAAGAAGUGAUAAUUUCAUGUCCCUUUUGCAUCAUGGAGAAGCAACAAAAUAUAGUAAUCUUCACUCCCGAAUGACUAUGAGCUACUAAUUUUUAAAAAUCAAUGUUUCAUAAUUGAUAGAGUAAUCUUUAGUAGAAGUAACAAGCCUUUCAUAUAGUCCUAUAGCUGGUUUUUCUCCAAAAGCAUCACAGUGCUGGCUUAUAGUUUUAAACAAAACUUUCUUAACUACAAAGCUUAGUCUCUUGAGGAUUAGCUCAAGAGACCUUCAAAAAUAUAUUAUUCUCUCGUCCCUAUAAGUAGGCUUAAAAGCAGCCACCAUACAACGUUUUAGUUACUAACACUAAAUCAUCAAAUAUUAAUCUACUAACAUUUUAGUUUUAGAGAAAUUUAACAAAAAACUUUUUUGUUAUUAAACAGGCAUUCUAUUAGUAUUAAUAAAAGAGUACUGCUCAACACCAUUAAAAAUAUUUGAAACAAAACACCUUCUAAACACUCAAAUACGUAAAGCGAACUCGGCAAAUCAGUUCCCUGCCUGUUUACCAAAAACAUCGUCUUUUGAAAUUUUUCUAAUAAAAGAUAAUGCCUGCCCAGUGAUUAAUUAAACGGCCGCGUUAGCGUGAGCGUGCUAAGGUAGCGUAAUAAUUAGCCUUUUAAUUGGAGGCCAGUGAAUGGCAAGACUGGGAACACCUUUACUUUACGUAUAAAAAAAACUUUUCAUCUAAGUGAAAAGACUUAGAUAAUGAAGGAAGACGAAAAGACCCCGCGGAACUUUACCUUUUCUCGUUAUUUCGUCUACGUUCUUAAAAACUAUUAAGGUUUGAUUGGGGCAAUCUUGGAACCAACAAAGCUUCCGAAUGCUUUAAAAAAUACAUUAAAAAUUUGCUAAGGACCAAAAAGAAGCUACCCCGGGGAUAACAGCGUAAUCCAACUCAAGAGUACAUAUCGAAAGUUGGGUUUGCGACCUCGAUGUUGGCUUAAGGAUAUCCACAUUAGUGCAACCGCUAUGACAGGAUAGUCUGUUCGACUAUUAUACCCUUACACGAGCUGAGUUAAGACCGGCGCAAGCUAGGUUGGUUUCUAUCUCCUUUAGAAUAAAUAUCUUCUUGAUUGUACGAAAGGACCCCAAGAGAUGCAAAUAUAAAGCACUCUACAUAAGAUAACC